AUAUUCCUCGGUCUCGCGUUCUCUAUCAUGGAGGCGGAUACAAGGAUAGUGAUCGAUAUAUCAGUCUUCUACAACAGUCAUCUCUUUGUAUAAAUGCACGGUGGCAGUAACAGAGCGAAGUCGUCAGAACGUAAACUCCAUGGAGAGCACGUUGAACUUUUGGAUGAGGAGUUGCAGAGGAGGGGGACCUCUGAUCAUAUAUGCAUGGAGGAGUCUGCUGAGUUGGGAGUUUUGAGUGCUCAGGAACUGCAGAAGCAAAACUGGAGAAGAUCAAAUGUUUUUUCUGCAAAAAGUUUGAGCAAAUGACGAAACUUUGUGAAGGCUUGAGAAAGUGGAUGAUCAAAAAGGGGUUUAACAAGGUGGAGGCUCCAAGGAAGCAUGAAGAUUCAGUCGUGUCUGUGUUGGAAACUUCAUGGAGUGUCUAAAUUGCCAAUUUUGGUGACCAAACCUCAGUGGAAAAAAAGGGAAAUCUGGGAACCACCACUUAUUUAUCGAGAAAUAAUUAUAAGAAAUGGAGUAUCAAAUCCUUCUUCUGUAAAAGGAGAGGGGAUUGUAUGAAGAGAGACUGAUUGUUACAACAUUGGAACUUGGAAGGGUUACCAAUGCACAUUGCAAAUUCUUUGCUGCGGUUCUCACCAAUGCACAUGUGCACAGCAGGAAGUGUUGAGAUGUGAAGCAAACUCUACCAUGGUAUAAGAACAACAAUAUACCUUAAGGAUCUAUAUUAAUCUCUACAUUAAGGAUUACUCAAAUUCUACUCGAUAAUAGAGUUUCUGUUCCAAUUUAACUAUUCUACAUGUGUAAAUUUGUGUCUUGAUAAACGAGACAAUUUAUA